GCGAGGGCGCCGCACCCACACUGCGCUGCGCAGUUUUGUUCUGCUCCAGCCGUUCGAAGGUGAUCCAGACGCAAGAUGGCUGUCCUCUCUAAGGAAUAUGGUUUUGUGCUUCUAACUGGUGCUGCCAGCUUUAUAAUGGUGGCCCACCUAGCCAUCAAUGUUUCCAAGGCCCGCAAGAAGUACAAAGUGGAGGUAAGUGGGAACACAAGCUGGUGCCCUUAUAGGCUUGUCUGGGGGCCACAGGCUUAGCCAAGAACUUAUUUUCAGCCAUGGAGGGAGAGGCAAGGAGCUAGUUGUGAGAAGUGGCAGUUUCAGGACUGUGUUAGCGAUUCUGCUUCUUCAUGGUAGGAAAGAGGCAAGAAAUACAGGGCCCUGCUAGGGAGUAGUUUCCAUCUUGUUUGACUUUGUCUCUUCUGUAGAAAGACCAGGUAUGCUGGAAUUCCAAUAGUACACUUCUGCUUGGAGCUAUUUGCUAGGAAGAGAGUUACUGUAUUUUCCACAGAGGGUUAAAUAGCAACAUUGUUUCAUGGUGUGCCACUUUAAAAAUGAUGUCUUACAGUGAUUUUCCUGUUUUCCAAGUAGAAAAGAGGUAUGUGGUGUUGAGAUUAGCCUGGACUUAGACAUAGGAAGGUGGUCUAUUAAACACUUCCUUUAGUUUUAGGUGAUCUAGAAGGGAUAAUUACCAAAGUUGUCCCUGGUGAGCGGUUUUAAAUGUCUGUUUCUGUUUAGCAACUUAAUAAUUAAACUCCCUUACUAGAGCUUCUUUUAAGUUUUUAUAUUUAGUUUCUUCUUUUUUUUCCCUUCCAGUGGACACUUCCAUUAAGAUUCUCACACACUCAAUUUCUGUUCUUCUAUUAAGGGAAAUCUUGAAAGGAUGUGGUAUUUGAUGACGCUUAGGAAGGCUCUAUUUCCCUACAGUAUCUUUGUAAUGCAUCUGAAAUCCACCAUUGAUGCUUAACGUCAAUGAAAAGCACGGAGUUUGGCGCAAAGCUGCCUCUUUCC
rnacentral:sRNA from 1 species